rnacentral:rRNA from 1 species
GACGAACGCUGGCGGCGUGCUUAACACAUGCAAGUCGAACGGAAACGCCCUUCUUUUCUGGGGUCCUCGAGUGGCGAACUGGUGACUAACCCUUUACUACCCUGCCCUUCUCUUUGGCUUAACUUCAUGCCACUUGGGCUCAUACCGGGUAGGAGCUCCUGCCGCAUGGUGGGCGCUGGAUAGUUUCGGCGGUUGGGGAUGGACUCGCGGCUUAUCAGCUUGUUGGUUGGGUAGUGGCAUACCAAGGCUUUGACGGGUAGCAGGCCUGCGAGGAGGACAGGCCACAUUGGGACUGAGAUACGGCCCAGACUCGUACGGGAGGCAGCAGUGGGGAAUAUUGCACAAUGGGCGGAAGGCUGAUGCAGCAACGCCGCGUGCGGGAUGACGGGCUUCGGGUUGGAAACCGCUUUCGCCUGUGACGAAGCGUGAGUGACGGUAAUGGGUAAAGAAGCACCGGCUAACUACGUG